GUGGUUUAGAUGGUAUGUAGAAGAAGCCUUCAUGUAGACUUGAAGCUAAUGACCUAGUAAGACUUCUGAGAGCAACAGCAAAUAUAUUCAAUACUGAGAAUAUUUCAUUUGUAUUGAACACAAUGAGAAGGUGGAUAAAUGUGUAAGUACAAAAAAAUCCUGUAAACUUGUGUGUGUGUGUGUGUGUGUGCAC
ensembl:lncRNA